UGUUCUGUAAAUAAAAUUUGAAAACGAACAAAAAAGUGUCACAGAUAACUAAAUUUACACAGAUGCCAAUGUGCAUAAUUUGUUGCUUUUUUCUUUGAAUACUCGAGCUGUUCCCCUAAGGUUUCCAUGUAUUUAUGUUUGAAAUAAAGUCAGCAAUUCGGCAUAUCCGUUGGAAACAUGUGCAUUCUUAUCUUAUAUGAUACAGUUGGGUGCAGACCAAGCAUUACAUAAAGUAAAAUUCAAGUUAACGCCGCGUGCACAUAUUUCGUUAGUUAACUUCAAAUUUCCCCGUUUACUAGUAGACGCGCGUUUACCAUAAAUACAUUAAAGCGGUCAAAAUGGCAAUUUCUAAUGUCUACCCGAGUAAACGGGCGUUUGCUCUGUGUCCGUUUAGUCAGUAGUAAACGGGCGUUUACUUCAGAAUUCUACAAAUGUAUUUUUACGUGCACUUACAAGCUUUCUAUACACUGAGCCAAAACGUAUAUCAUUUUCUUAUAUUUGCUUGCAUUUUGGAGAUACUUUGCUAUUUCCAGUUGGCAAAAUAUCAGUUCGCGUUUAUAUGAUUCUAAAAAUAUUAAAUUGUGAGGUACAUUUACAGAGAAUGAUUGAAAAAAGCUUAUCCCGGUGUACAUAAGGUCAGUUUGUAUGCUGGUUUCCAAUGUGACUUUUCGUCAAGUCUAACGCAAAAAUACUUGCGACUUAAUCAUGUUCCAGUAGUACGAGGCCGGUGUAAUAUGUGAAAGGGGAGAUGUCUUUUAGCUACCCGUGUAAAACAGUCUUACUAUUUUUUCUUCAAAAUUAAAAAGUUUUGAUUUGUCUUUGUAGGGAUAUCUCUAUCAUUUGUUAUGACAUUUCAAUAAUAAUGACUAUAACGAAAUUGUAUAUAUCAAGUUUAACUAGUGUUAUAAGUGAGUCUUGAAUAUUUAUAAUUAUAUGUGCCGAAUUUUCCUGGCAUCAUCUGUUGAAAAGUAAGUUCUUUAAAAAAUAACACCGCCCAUGUUAGUCUG
rnacentral:lncRNA from 1 species